rnacentral:rRNA from 1 species
AUGUCCACGCAAAGGGUUUUCAAAGCUGAGGUGUCCAGUCAGAAAUUCCUCACAAUGGUAUGCAAGAACGCAGAUUGUCCCGCAAGGGUGCACGGCUUUCUCCCUAAGUAUGGCACAAGUUGGGUGAUAAGUGACUUAGUUAAUCACACUUGUCUUAUUCCCUGCAUCCCUCAAGAUCAUGCCAACCUUUCAUCCACGCUUAUUGCUCAACUGUUUUACGAUGAGAUAGUGCAAGGCAAAGCUAUGGAAGUGAAGGCAGUGCAGACAAAAGUGUUCGCCAGGUUGAAGUACAGAAUUUCUUAUGGCAAGGCUUGGAGGGCUAAGCAUGCAGCGCUUGAGAGGAGAUUUGGUUCUUAUUUUGAUGCAUAUGACUCUGUUGUCCACCUCCUCCACACCCUGCAGCAGCGGAAUCCAGGCACCUAUAUCGAUAUCUAA